ensembl:lncRNA
GGUGGAUGAGAGAAAGGGGAGGCAAGACGAGAGACCCGAGGCGGGGCCGGGUGUUCUGGGAAUCCAUCCUACCUCAAAAAACAUCCUACCCAAUGUUUCUGCACACACGCGGCGCAUGCGCACAACACCAAAGCCGAAUUAACUUCUUUUUCUCUGACCCAUCCGCUCCGAGUGUCAGGUGAACUGAACUUCAGGUUAAGAAGUUAUGACCUGCAGUCUAUCUGGGUCAGAUAUAAACCAAGUUUAGGUGGAGUUUAUUUUCGUUAUGCUGGCUUUUUCAUACUGGGUACUAGCUAGCAUGACGGAGUUUCUAUACAGCUGGGUGGAUGCUAUGAUGUUACUGAUGCUGAACUUUAUUUUAUUCAUAAGGUUAGUUAGUUAGUUGCCAACUGUCCUCUAAAAAACGGAAUCGUCCCGCAUUUAGAGAAAAUAUUACGCGUUUCAUAUUAAGGUGAAAAGGAAUGUCAGGAAGCUCCCCUGGCUUCUGCUCUGCAGCUGCUGAGUGAGCCCUCAUCUGGGACUCUCCUCAGCUCUUUCUGGGAUAGUGGCGCGGCUGCCCCUCUGUUGGGCUUCAUUGGUCUCUUGUGUUCUGAGGGGCCUCUGGAUGUCUGGAGUUUUGAUCUCCUCCAUACCUGCUUCAAGCCCUGGAGGACGGGGCAGUGGCCCCCCCACACCCUCUAGCAGAUCAUUACAUGAAGGAACCUUUUAAAUACAAGCGCGCUCAUGCUCACAGGUGUACACACAGGUGCUCACACACACAAAUUACACCCUUUUUUAGCCCCUCCCUCUCCUGUUUCUACUUCAGUCAUGAAACUGAUCAAUGAUCAGCUGAUUGUCUCUCUUGUUUGUUUAUCGCCCACUUUGCGCCAGAAAGUAGAAACCAGCGGAUGUCGCGUUAAACAACAGCAGCGCGUUUAAGCUUGAUCAGCUGUUGUUAGAAUUUAUUUAAUAUUAGUUUCUAGUAUCAGCUGAUGUUUGCUGGAGCCACAGCUGUAAAGCUGCUGGUCAUGAUGUCGGUUUGGAUACGUGGUGAGAGGGAAACAAGAAGAUGAAACCAGGAGAUGUCCUUACUGAAUCAUCAGAGCUGAACAGGUGAUGGAGAAACAGGUUUACCUUUAGGUGACAUGAAUGAGUUGAAGGGAAGUUAUGAACUGUUUCUGAGAGACAAAUAACACCAGGAUCCUUUUCUAUGUAGCUGACAGCUGGUAACGUUGCAGGGGCGGGUCUAGCAAAGUUUUGCCAGGGGGCCAGGUAGGGCAUUAACAAUGAGAGGGGGGCACAAAGAAAUCCUUUCUUAUUUGCAUUUAAAAUGUCUAGCUUUUAAAAAAUAAUUAUCUGAAUCUUUCAACAAACGAUUGAUAGAUUGAUGCAUAUAUACCAUCAGACAGUGUACAUCACUGUCACAACAGCGUUUGUUUUCAUUCAAAGGCUUUAUGAUUUUUCCUAUAAUGGUGGGCCAGGCUCUAGUCAAAAUGCCUGGGCCGAUUUUUUUGUCCCAGUCCAGCCCUGUAUGUAGCUCAUCUGCAGUCUGGUGUUGCCUACAUCUUCCUAUUCAGAAGGCAGAAUUUCUGAGUACAAUCAAAGGACCACGGCUGCAGUUUUCAUGUUGGAUGUAAAAAGCGCACGUGACGCUGUGACGUAGGCUAGAAUCAUGGCGGCGGUCAACGACGGUCCAGGCGUGGGAUUUCUCUCGUGGAAAUAUGCACAUUAUUUUUUCCUUUCUAUUGAGCCGGCAAAAGCUGACGACUGUCCUUAGGCCAUUCAGGUUUGUGACUGAGCUUCUUGGAGGUGAGACAUAUGUCUCAUGUUCAGUGGUUUUACCUGCUUACUGCCACCUGCAUCACACCAUGGAGGUCUCCAAUGAUGACCCAGACUACAUGGUGAAAUUUAAGACUGCCUUUACAAAGAACCUAUUCCAACAUGUAGCUACACUCAACCAUCAGUGGCUCAAGGGGGAGAGGGAGAAGAGGUUUGGAUCAGCCUUGACGUUACUGCAGGAACAGUGUAAAGAUGCCACCACAAAGGAGCCAGCAAAGACAAAGAGCCUCCUCCUCUCUUCAAUGUCUCCAGACUCUGAUUCAGAUGAUUCAGAUGAGGAAGCCCUGUGUAACAGGGCCCUGAGCAGAAUCCACCAUCAGCGAUAAAGACUGCCCACUGCAGUCUAAUACAAUUAUCUAAUACAGUCUAACACAAUUAUCAUUGUUGUUUGUUGAAUCCUAAUGGCAACUGUAGUGUGUAAUCAGGUAUAAACACUUUAUUUACAAGACAAAACAUCUGUUACAGGUCAUAACAGAGUUUAAAUGUGAAGCUGGUCAAAUAACCUUUCAUGUUUCUGCCUUAGUUUUUUAAGAAGAAAAACUGCAAUUUAUGUUGAAAAUGUUAUUAUUAUUAUAAGAGACACUACCAUUUUAAAAAUGUACUUAAAUUAGCAUUUUAUUUUUUUAAAUUGAGUCCCACCCCUACUAAUUAAUUAAUGAAAAGUGUUAUUAAUUAAACAAAAUUUAAAAUAAACACAUUAUUAAAUGAUUUAAAUAAAACAAAUAUGCAUCUAAUUAAUUAUUGAACUAUUUAUUUAAUUAAUUAAUUACAAUUUUAAUUAAGCAGUGAAACAUUUAAAUUAUUUAAUAACAUAUAUAAUUAAUAAAUUUUGUCCCUCAUGGCCUUCCAUAAAAGACAAGCCCCAGCUAGACUAAUUUAAAAUAACAAAGAACAAAAUGUUUCUCACCACCUUCAGCUCAACCUCUUGAAGAUGAAAGCCUGAAGUUCUCACAAUUUUUUCCUGACCAUCGAAAUAAAUCAGGAUCUGUAAUCUGAUAUGUAAACAUAUAAAUGUCUGAGUAUUGACUAGAAUGUAACAAAACAAAACAAAAAACACCCACCAACGUCACACCACCCAAAGAAGUUCAAUAUUUGAGAACACUAAUACAAAAAUUCACAUUGUAAAAAAACAACUAGUGACAGUUUCUGAAUGGUAUCUAAAUAUAUUUCACAAUAAUGCAAAAGCAUGU